rnacentral:rRNA from 1 species
CGUGUAGGCGGUUUGGUAAGUUGGAUAUGAAAGCUCCAGGCUCAACCUGGAGAGGCCAUUCAAAACUGCCAGACUAGAGGACGGUAGAGGGAGGUGGAAUUCCAGGUGUAGCGGUGAAAUGCGUAGAUACCUGGAGGAACACCAGUGGCGAAGGCGGCCUCCUGGGCCGUUCCUGACGCUCAGACGCGAAAGCUAGGGGAGCGAACAGGAUUAGAUACCCUGGUAGUC